rnacentral:misc_RNA from 1 species
UUUCCGUAGGUGAACCUGCGGAAGGAUCAUUACAGUGUUCUCUGCCCUCACGGGUAGAAACGCCCACCCUUGUGUAUUAUAUCUUUGUUGCUUUGGCAGGCCGCCCUCGGGCACCGGCUCCGGCUGGAUCGCGCCUGCCAGAGGAAACCCAAACUCUGAAUGUUAAUGUCGUCUGAGUACUAUCUAAUAGUUAAAACUUUCAACAACGGAUCUCUUGGUUCUG